AGGACGAACGCUGGCGGCGUGCUUAACACAUGCAAGUCGAGCGGUAAGGCUCCUUCGGGAGUACACGAGCGGCGAACGGGUGAGUAACACGUGAGCAAUCUGCCCUUCACACUGGGAUAACCCCCGGAAACGGGAGCUAAUACCGGAUACGACCACUUCAGGCAUCUGACGGUGGUGGAAAGUUCUGGCGGUGAAGGAUGAGCUCGCGGCCUAUCAGCUUGUUGGUGAGGUAAUGGCUCACCAAGGCUUCGACGGGUAGCCGGCCUGAGAGGGUGACCGGCCACACUGGGACUGAGACACGGCCCAGACUCCUACGGGAGGCAGCAGUGGGGAAUAUUGGACAAUGGGCGAAAGCCUGAUCCAGCAACGCCGCGUGAGGGAUGACGGCCUCGGUUGUAAACCUCUUUCAGCGGGACGAAGCGCAAGUGACGGUACCGCAGAAGAAGCACCGGCCAACUACGUGUCAGCAGCCGCGGU
rnacentral:rRNA from 1 species